rnacentral:lncRNA from 1 species
CAGGAACGGGCUGGAGUUAAAAUGGUUAUGAUUCAAGACGGGCCGCAGAACACUGGUGCUGACAAACCUCUUAGGAUUACAGGAGACCCAUAUAAAGUUCAACAAGCCAAGGAAAUGGUGUUAGAGUUAAUUCGUGAUCAAGGCGGUUUCAGAGAAGUUCGGAAUGAGUAUGGGUCAAGAAUAGGAGGAAAUGAAGGGAUAGAUGUCCCCAUUCCAAGAUUUGCUGUUGGCAUUGUAAUAGGAAGAAAUGGAGAGAUGAUCAAAAAAAUACAAAAUGAUGCUGGUGUUCGCAUUCAGUUUAAGCCAGAUGAUGGGACAACACCCGAAAGGAUAGCACAAAUAACAGGACCUCCAGACCGAUGUCAACAUGCUGCAGAAAUUAUUACAGACCUUCUUCGAAGUGUUCAGGCUGGUAAUCCUGGUGGACCUGGACCUGGUGGUCGAGGAAGAGGUAGAGGUCAAGGCAACUGGAACAUGGGACCACCUGGUGGACUACAGGAAUUUAAUUUUAUUGUGCCAACUGGGAAAACUGGAUUAAUAAUAGGAAAAGGAGGUGAAACCAUAAAAAGCAUAAGCCAGCAGUCUGGUGCAAGAAUAGAACUUCAGAGAAAUCCUCCACCAAAUGCAGAUCCUAAUAUGAAGUUAUUUACAAUUCGUGGCACUCCACAACAGAUAGACUAUGCUCGGCAACUCAUAGAAGAAAAGAUUGGUGGCCCAGUAAAUCCUUUAGGGCCACCUGUACCCCAUGGGCCCCAUGGUGUCCCAGGCCCCCAUGGACCUCCUGGGCCUCCAGGGCCUGGAACUCCAAUGGGACCAUACAACCCUGCACCUUAUAAUCCUGGACCACCAGGCCCGGCUCCUCAUGGUCCUCCAGCCCCAUAUGCUCCCCAGGGAUGGGGAAAUGCAUAUCCACACUGGCAGCAGCAGGCUCCUCCUGAUCCAGCUAAGGCAGGAACGGAUCCAAAUUCAGCAGCUUGGGCUGCUUAUUACGCUCACUAUUAUCAACAGCAAGCACAGCCACCACCAGCAGCCCCUGCAGGUGCACCAACUACAACUCAAACUAAUGGACAAGGAGAUCAGCAGAAUCCAGCCCCAGCUGGACAGGUUGAUUAUACCAAGGCUUGGGAAGAGUACUACAAGAAAAUGGGUCAGGCAGUUCCUGCUCCGACUGGGGCUCCUCCAGGUGGUCAGCCAGAUUAUAGUGCAGCCUGGGCUGAGUAUUAUAGACAACAAGCAGCCUAUUAUGCCCAGACAAGUCCCCAGGGAAUGCCACAGCAUCCUCCAGCACCUCAGUGCAGGUUUGAUCCAGCCAGUAUAGAACUAGCUCUGUAGGGGUGAGGAGGACUGUGCUGUGUAUCAUCCUUGAUUGUGUUCCUUCAAGGAGCAUUGCACUUGCCUUCCCAGACCUUCCACCUUAGGUUCUGCUGCAAAAAGCACCAGUGCUGAAGAUGCUGCAAGCACCAAAUCAUAGCUCAUAAAAUCAGGUCCUGAGAUAGUUACCCAUAAAGAGGAAUCCUUUGAGUGUAUGCCAUUGGUGAGCCGAUGAGCAUGGACCAUAGAAGGGCUCAAUGUAGAAGAAACUACCCGUGUGUAAAAAGAAGAUUGGCUUAAAAUGGCUACUGUGAUGGGAACAGUGUCUUAGGGAGAUGCAGCUUGGACUUGAGGUAAAUUGAAUACUUUACAACUGUGGUUUAGAGUUUGCUUUAAUGACAUUGUAUGUAAAAGGUCACAUGAUUGCUGUAAUUUUGUAUUCAUUAUGGUUUCCUCAAUAA